GUCAGCAUUUUACCGGUGUUUAAUCCAGCUGCUAGCUAAAGAUGCAACACUCUUUUACUCUGUGGUUUUCAUUGUGCUGCUCAUACUGACACCUGCCCUGGACACGGUUUAUACAAAUAUUACAAAGUGCGAGGAGCUGGAGGCAACAUGAAGAGAAACAAAACCAAGACAGCAGAAACAGAGGAAGUGGCAGGUGUAGCACA